GGUGCGAUGGCCGAGCGGUCUAAGGCGCUGCAUUCAAGUCUGCAACAUGGCUUUCCGGAAUACAACUUCGGGGUACACUGCAGUAUCGAAAGAUGCGUGAGUUCGAAUCUCACUCGCACCA